AACUCGAUCCUCAUGUUGUUAUACUGCGACGUGAUGACCUCCGGGACCUCGGUGCCGCAGUAUUUCCCGUGCAGCUUGGAGUCGGGCGACAGGCCGCUGCGCACCUCCACGUAGUCGUACUUGCACACCUGAUCGAGACACGCUCAAAGGCCUCGAACUGCAUGGAGAUGCGAUACUGCGUGGGGGCCACCACGUGCCACACGCAGUUCUUGUUGGGCGGGUACUCCUUGGGCCAGCCCGGCGUGCUGAUGGUGCCGUUCAGCUUGGACAGAAGACCGCCGCACGCCGCUGUUUGGAAGGAAGGGCGCACUUAGCCAGCCUCCAUCCCUUACACACUACAUCAUUAUGAAAAUGGUUCCUUGAACGGCAAUCAAGAUUUGGGGAGACUCGUUAAGGGAAAAGCGCUUCCGCACUUCCCGACACACAAGUUGAGGCACAAGAAAACCACAUGAAUGGAUUUCACUCGGCGCUGUUGACAAAACCACAACGUUGCUGUAAAUAGCACAAAGUCAAGCGUGCGUACGGAGAAGGUCAACAUCCACGCGCACUCACGGUAAUGCACCAAACUGCAGAUGGCCACAUCUUUUCUUCUAUGGUUUUGGAAUGAGAUGUUCUCAAUUCCAUUUGCCGUGUUUAUCUUCACAUUUGCCUCCUUCCUGUUUUAUGAAUGUUUUAAAUACCGUUUUUUUCCGUGUAUAGUGCGCCCCCAUGUAUAAUACGCACCCUAAAAAUGGCAU